rnacentral:rRNA from 1 species
GACCCGUCUUGAAMCAMGGACCAAGGAGUCUAGCAUGUGUGCGAGUCAUUGAGAUCWCAUCUAAACUGAAAGGCGCAACGAAAGUGAAGGCGCGCGCUAGCCGCGCGCUCAGGGAGGAUGGGGCCGGGCCCGGCCCGGCUCUCGCACUCCCGAGGCGUCUCGUUUCCAAUCAGUGAAUGCAGGCGCGCUCUGAGCACAGAUGCUGGGACCCGAAAGAUGGUGAACUAUGCCUGGUCAGGUCGAAGUCAGGGGAAACCCUGAUGGAGGACCGUAGCGAUUCUGACGUGCAAAUCGAUCGUCGGAACUGGGUAUAGGGGCGAAAGACUAAUCGAACCAUCUAGUAGCUGG